AUUUACUUCAUGGAAGAUUUACAGAUUCAUCACAUCCAAGCUGGGUCUCUGCUGCCGUGUCUUCAAGCAGGGAGACACACUCUGCUCUGCAAGGCGAAGACAUGAUGAUGUCUCAGGUUUUGCAAUCGCAAUUGUUCCUGUUUUAUCUUUUCUCGUGGUCGUGACUUUUUGCCCGGACUGUUCCGUUUUUUUCAUGAUGAUGUGUCAGGCCAUCGCUCUGAGGUCGCUCACACUCCUCUGCAGCCUGUCACUGUCUGUCUGUCAGUCUCUGAGGUCAGAGAUGGAGCCAAACUUUCCGACACCACUCAAAAUAACUCCUCGUGCUCAGGCUGCCCAGGGCUCUGAACGUGCUGACAUUAGGAGCAGUCUCUGUACAACCAGAGCGAAGACAGAGUCAUCCAUUGGUCUGUCACACUCGUGUGCGUCCAGCAGCAGCUGUGGUUCCAGUUGAUCGCACUCUGUGUGUGAGAAGAACGUUGCAGUGGCACCGUGACGCCUGCAGAUGCUGCAUGAAUUUGCCUGAAACAUAUAAAAAGGUCCACGAGGGACAAAGAGAAUUCCUUUGGGAUUUUAGCUUUUUCCAGUUAAAAAUAAAUUGAAUACUGUCACAUUUUUGUAUUAAAAGUUUUUAAAGGUU